UGCGUAGGCGGUUUGGUAAGUUUUCUGAUGUGAAAUCUAUGGGCUCAACUCAUAGUCUGCAUCGGAAACUGCCGGGCUUGAGUGUGGGAGAGGUGAGUGGAAUUUCCGGUGUAGCGGUGAAAUGCGUAGAUAUCGGAAGGAACACCUGUGGCGAAAGCGGCUCACUGGACCACAACUGACGCUGAUGCACGAAAGCUAGGGGAGCAAACAGGAUUAGAUACCCUGGUAGUCCUAGCCCUAAACGAUGACUGCUUGGUGUGACGGGUACCCAAUCCCGCCGUGCCGUAGCUAACGCGUUAAGCAGUCCGCCUGGGGAGUACGGUCGCAAGGCUGAA
rnacentral:rRNA from 1 species